rnacentral:rRNA from 1 species
GCAAGUCGAACGGUAGACUGCUUUCGGGCAGUUGAGAGUGGCGCACGGGUGCGUAACGCGUAUGCAACCUACCUUGUACAGGGGGAUAGCCCGGAGAAAUCCGGAUUAAUACCCCAUGGCAUUACCAGAUGGCAUCUGAAGGUAAUUAAAGAUUUAUCGGUACAAGAUGGGCAUGCGUGACAUUAGUUAGUUGGUAAGGUAACGGCUUACCAAGACUGUGAUGUCUAGGGGUUCUGAGAGGAUGAUC